rnacentral:rRNA from 1 species
AGAACGAACGCUGGCGGCAUGCCUAAUACAUGCAAGUCGAACGAACACUUCGGUGUUAGUGGCGCACGGGUGCGUAACGCGUGGGAAUCUGCCCUUGGGUUCGGAAUAACAGUUGGAAACGACUGCUAAUACCGGAUGAUGACGAAAGUCCAAAGAUUUAUCGCCCAGGGAUGAGCCCGCGUAGGAUUAGCUAGUUGGUGAGGUAAAGGCUCACCAAGGCGACGAUCCCUAGCUGGUCUGAGAGGAUGAUCAGCCACACUGGGACUGAGACACGGCCCAGACUCCUACGGGAGGCAGCAGUAGGGAAUAUUGGACAAUGGGCGCAAGCCUGAUCCAGCAAUGCCGCGUGAGUGAUGAAGGCCUUAGGGUGUAAAGCUCUUUACCGAGAUGAUAAUGACAGUAUCGGGAAGAAUAAGCCCCGGCUAACCUCCGCGCCAAGCCAGCCGAC